rnacentral:rRNA from 1 species
GGAAUUCGAUUCGGGUGUGACAAGGCCCGGGAACGUAUUCACGGCGGCAUGCUGAUCCGCCAUUACUAGCGAUUCCGACUUCAUGUAGUCGAGUUGCAGACUACAAUCCGAACUGAGACCGGCUUUUUGGGAUUCGCUCCACCUCGCGGUAUUGCACCCCUUUGUACCGGCCAUUGUAGCACGUGUGUAGCCCUGGACAUAAAGGCCAUGAGGACUUGACGUCAUCCCCACCUUCCUCCCCGUUUUCCGGGGCAGUCCCUGUAGAGUUCCCGGCAUAACCCGCUGGCAACUACAGGCAAGGGCUGCGCUCGUUGCGGGACUUAACCCAACAUCUCACGACACGAGCUGACGACAGCCAUGCACCACCUGUACAGGGCCCUUACGGACACCGUAUCUCUACGGCUUUUCCCUACAUGUCAAACCCAGGUAAGGUUCUUCGCGUUAAUCACUA